rnacentral:lncRNA from 1 species
ACAAAAGUGAGAACCAGUUAGGCUUCAGUUUGUGCAGAAAAUUAACGAGAGAAAAAUUGAGAGAUUGUCUUUACAUAGACAAAUAAAAUACAGAAAGUAUAUUUGUUGUAUUCAUUUUCUUCUCUUGUUGAUAUAGUAAAAUAAUUGGUGUGGGUUUGUGGAUGUAGGCAUUAUUGCCGAACCACGUAAAUUCUUGUGUCACUUGCGCUUAUUAUUUUUGCUACAUUUAUUUCUUCUCAGUUCAAAUUAUUUUGCAUCCCACUGAUCCUGACGAAAUUAGUGACAAUCUAAUUCCUAAAAAUAAGUACGACAUAUGCG